AUCUAGCUGAGGAGUCCCAAAUAGGAUGGAACGUGAGUCUUAGAU
rnacentral:hammerhead_ribozyme from 1 species